UACGAAGGGGGCUAGCGUUGUUCGGAUUUACUGGGCGUAAAGCGCGCGUAGGCGGAUUCUUAAGUCAGGGGUGAAAUCCCGGGGCUCAACCUCGGAACUGCCCUUGAUACUGGGAAUCUCGAGUUCGGGAGAGGUGAGUGGAACUGCGAGUGUAGAGGUGAAAUUCGUAGAUAUUCGCAAGAACACCAGUGGCGAAGGCGGCUCACUGGCCCGAUACUGACGCUGAGGCGCGAAAGCGUGGGGAGCAAACGGG
rnacentral:rRNA from 1 species